rnacentral:rRNA from 1 species
UACGUAGGUGGCGAGCGUUGUCCGGAUUUACUGGGCGUAAAGCGCGCGUAGGCGGCCAGAUAAGUCCGGUGUGAAAGUCAAAGGCUCAACCUUUGAAUGCCGCUGGAAACUGUCUGGCUAGAGUCCGGAAGGGGCGAGUGGAACUCCUGGUGUAGCGGUGAAAUGCGCAGAUAUCAGGAAGAACACCAAUGGCGAAGGCAGCUCGCUAGGACGGUACUGACGCUGAGGCGCGAAAGCGUGGGGAGCAAACAGG